UGGAGCAGAGCCCCUACCAAUCCUUGAUGGACAUACAGGGAGCCUGUGUGCAACUUCCAGCCCAUACAGGAUGUGAAGAUGGCUGACAACCUGUUUUGGAGAGCUGUGGAGCUUCUCGUGGGAAAGCAGCUGGGAUGAGGUUGAAGGUGAAGAUAUUACAAGCUGCUUCAGAAGGGGUGUACCUGGAAUGUCCAGAAUGUUGAAGCCUCUGUGAGGAAGAGCCUUACACGGUAACAAGGAGUUGCAAGUGAGCAGGUUACAAGUCCCAGAAAGACCUGAUCGAGGAAUGGAUAUGAAGUUAUUUUGGAAAAUUAAAAGGAAAGGAAAAACAAGUGAACUGUCUGCUUUUCAAAUGAAUGUUUGAAUGGCCCAGGA